AUGGAUGAGGAGCUUCUCGUCGGCGCCCCAGUAAACAUGGACUGCGACCACUACGUGCAGAACUCGGCGGCGCUUCGCGAAGGGAUGUGCUACAUGCUUGAGCACAUCCUCGCAGAUCAUGAAGCUGCAGUCACAGGGCAGGUGGCCGCCAACGCCGGCAUGUCGCAGCCGCGCAUCUUGCAGGACAUGUUUGACGGAGGCGGCCGGCCGAGCGCCGUCGGCGGAGUUGCUGAGCACGUGGGCGCGCGUCGCGCAGUUGAGGCUGCCGGUGAAGAUGGUGCCGGAGACGUAGCUCCUCUCCGUGCGACCCCAGAGGCGGCGGCGGACGCGGUGGCGAGGGACGAGGCGGCGGAGUUGGAGGAGGAGGACGACGAGGCCGCGACGGCGGCGGGGGAGGGGGAAGGGGGGCUGGAGGUGGUGGUGCCAAUCGGGGCGCAGAAGCACGACCCGACGUGGAAGCACUGCCUCAUGGUGCGCCUCGCCGGCCGGGACCGCCUCAAGUGCGUCUACUGCGGCAAGCACUUCCUCAGCGGCGGCAUCCACCGUUUCAAGGAGCACCUCGCGCGCCGCCCCGGCAACGCCUGCUGCUGCCCCGACGUCCCCGCCGACGUCGAGGCCCUCAUGCACCGCAGCCCCGACGAGGUCGCCGCCAAGAAGCUGCGCAAGCGCGCCCUCGUCGUCGCCUCCUCCCCCGCCGCCUUGCCGCCGGCCUCCUCGCCAUCCCCCCCUCCCCAUCCACGUCGUCCUGCUCAACCAGGCCCCGCGCGCCGCCGAGGAGACGCCUCCCAUGGGGACGGGGUCGGGGUGGACGGAGAAGGACGGGAUAAAAGUCCGAUGGGGGUGGGGAUGGGAAUAUUUUUUAUCCCCACAGACGGGUAUGGGGAUGGGAACAUGCAUGGGAAGGUUGUUGCGAGGACGGGGAUGAGAGUCCAAUACCCGCCUGGGUCUCGCAUCAACAAUCUUCGUCUCAAUCUGACGAACACACAUAAGGGAAAUCAAUCUGCAGCCACCUACUUCGGCCACAUGAGGUCCCUUGCGGACGAGCUCGCCAUGGCCGGAGAACCCAUCACCGAUGGGCAGCUACUCUCCUUCAUCAUCGCCAGCCUAGAUAUGGACUAUCAACCUAUUUUUUCGGCCCUGGAGGUUUGCACCGAUCAAGCCUUCGUCGACGAUCUCUUCUCUAUGGUGAGCAACUUCGACCAGCGUGUUGAACUUUUUCAUGGCAGUGGUGCUGGCGGCUUCAACUCUUCAGCCAACCUGGCUGGACGCGGCCGCGGUGGUGGUGGCAGCUUUUCCAAGGGGCGAUCGCGCAAGGACAACAGCAGCAGCGGUGGCACCUACCCUAGCCAGGGCAGCAGAUAUCCUGGCCAAGGAGGUGGCAGCUACCACGACCCCAACAGUUACGAUGGUGGUGGGCAAUCCGACGGCUAUGGGAUGGGUCACCCUCACCAAGGAGGCGGCAAUGGCUACCGUGGCCAGAACGCAGGCUAUGGUGGCGGUCAUGACAAUGGCCAUGGAGGCUACAACAACAACGACUACAAUGGAGGCUACAACAACAACUAUCAAAAUUGUGGUGGUGGUGAUGUUAUUUGUCAAAUCUCCAUCAUGUCUUCCUCCUCCGGCGCUUCCCUCCCGGCUAGUCUCAAUGGCCAGGUCACCGAGAAGCUAUCCCGCAUGAACUACGUGAUGUGGCGCACACAGAUGAUCCCCCAACUGCGUGGCGCCGGGGUCUUCGGCUACGUCGACGGCACCCAGCCGGAGCCGACAAAGCUGCUCGUCACCACCGACAAGGAAGGCAAGCAGACUUCAACGCCCAACCCUCUCCACCCAAUCUGGGUCUGGGAGGACCAGCAGGUCCUUGGCUACCUGCUGAGCAACCUCACAAAGGAGGUGCUCCUCACGGUGACCACGGUCACCACCGCGGGCGCGCUCUGGACGACGCUCACCGGCAUGUACUCGUCGCAAUCGGUGAGUCGCAUCAACAAUAUUCGCACUUCUCUCAUCAAUGUGCAGAAGGGCAACCUCUCCGUCACCUCCUACUUCGCCACCAUGCGUGGCUACGCCGACGAACUCGCCGCAGCGGGCAAGGCGAUCCUCGACGAUGAGCUCAUCUCCUACAUCAUCCACGGGCUCGAUGCUGACUACCAGCCUCUGAUCUCUGCUCUGGACGCUCGCGUGACCCCUGUCACCAUCGACGAGCUGUUCGCUAUGCUCUCCAACUUUGAUCAGAGGAUGGUGCACUACCACGGGUGCAGCGGCGGCGGCUUCAAAUCCUCCGCGAACUCGGCCUCUCGCGCAGCAGGGCAGCAGAUCUGCGCCGGGAUCAGCGCCAGCAGCUGUGCAGACCCGACAGCAGCAGAGCCUGCCGCCCACGCGGACUCCCGUGGCUCCGCGCGCGCCACACGCCAACUCCCGGAUGGCGGUAGUCCCUCGUCGGCCCCGCUCCAAUCGCCCGGCUCCACGCGGCGACAUCCUGGUGGCUCGGGCGGUCCGCGGUUUCUCGCCGAACCACGCUGCUACAAGCGGCGCGCCGCCCCCGUGCAGUCGACCGACGCGGGGCCCAGCGCUGAGCCAUCCAGCCAGGUGGGCGCGGGCUUCGGUGCUGAUCCGCGUGGCCCCAUGCAAUCAUGCGAGUCGGCUUGCCACCCGGGAUCCUCUGUGGCAGAAACAGCCCCACUGUUGCAUGCUGGAGUCAUAGAAGAUCCGGCGCGGGUACCGAGCGGAUCUACCUCGGGAUCGCGUGCUUCAGCAACUCCUGUGCAUGACGCUGGAUCCUCUGCACUGGCUGAUCUGUGGCGCAAUCUCGGCGACUCACACGACUGCAAAAAGGUGUAA
rnacentral:rRNA from 1 species